GAUGAACGCUGGCGGCGUGCCUAAUACAUGCAAGUCGAGCGAAUGGAUUGAGAGCUUGCUCUUAUGAAGUUAGCGGCGGACGGGUGAGUAACACGUGGGUAACCUGCCCAUAAGACUGGGAUAACUCCGGGAAACCGGGGCUAAUACCGGAUAACAUUUUGAACCGCAUGGUUCGAAAUUGAAAGGCGGCUUCGGCUGUCACUUAUGGAUGGACCCGCGUCGCAUUAGCUAGGUGGUGAGGUAACGGUGCACUAAGGCAACGAGGCGUAGCGGACCUGAGAGGGUGAGCGGCGACACUGGGACUAGGGCACGGCCCAGACUCCUGCGGGAGGCAGACGUAGGGAAUCUCCCGCGAUGGACGAAAGUCGGACGGUGCAACGCCGGGUGAGUGAUGAAGGCUGUCGGGUCGUAAAACUCUGUUGUUAGGGAAGAACAAGUGCUAGUUGAAUAAGCUGGCACCUUGACGGUACCUAACCAGAAAGCCACGGCUAACUACGUGCCAGCCGCCGCAGUAA
rnacentral:rRNA from 1 species